rnacentral:tRNA from 1 species
GGGUGCAUAGCUUAAUUGGUAGAGCAGUGGUCUCUUAAUCCAAGGGUUCGGGGUUCGAGUCCCCGUGUGCCUA